rnacentral:rRNA from 1 species
UACGUAGGGUGCGAGCGUUAAUCGGAAUUAUUGGGCGUAAAGCGCACGUAGGCGGCUUUUUAAGUCAGGGGUGAAAUCCUGGAGCUCAACUCCAGAACUGCCUUUGAUACUGGAGAGCUUGAGUCCGGGAGAGGUGAGUGGAACUCCGAGUGUAGAGGUGAAAUUCGUAGAUAUUCGGAAGAACACCAGUGGCGAAGGCGGCUCACUGGCCCGGUACUGACGCUGAGGUGCGAAAGCGUGGGGAGCAAACAGG